AGAAUUCCCGGUGUAGCGGUGAAAUGCGUAGAGAUCGGGAGGAAUACCAGUGGCGAAGGCGGCCUUCUGGACUGACACUGACGCUGAGGUGCGAAAGCGUGGGUAGCAAACAGGAUUAGAUACCCUGGUAGUCCACGCCGUAAACGAUGUCGACUAGCCGUUGGGGUCCUCGAGACCUUUGUGGCGCAGUUAACGCGAUAAGUCGACCGCCUGGGGAGUACGGCCGCAAGGUUAAAACUCAAAUGAAUUGACGGGGGCCCGCACAAGCGGUGGAGCAUGUGGUUUAAUUCGAUGCAACGCGAAGAACCUUACCUACUCUUGACAUCGAGCGAACUUUCCAGAGAUGGAUUGGUGCCUUCGGGAACGCUCAGACAGGUGCUGCAUGGCCGUCGUCAGCUCGUGUUGUGAAAUGUUGGGUUAAGUCCCGUAACGAGCGCAACCCUUGUCCCUAUUUGCCAGCGAUUCGGUCGGGAACUCUAGGGAGACUGCCGGUGACAAACCGGAGGAAGGUGGGGACGACGUCAGGUCAUCAUGGCCCUUACGAGUAGGGCUACACACGUGCUACAAUGGCCGGUACAAUGGGCUGCAAUCCCGCGAGGGGGAGCUAAUCUCAUAAAGCCGGUCUCAGUCCGGAUCGGAGUCUGCAACUCGACUCCGUGAAGUCGGAAUCGCUAGUAAUCGUGCAUCAGAAUGGCACGGUGAAUACGUUCCCGGGCCUUGUACACACCGCCCGUCACACCAUGGGAGUGGACUGCACC
rnacentral:rRNA from 1 species